rnacentral:tRNA from 1 species
AAGAUUAUAAACAAGAGCUGCUAACUCUAAGUUAAUGAUAUUCAUUUAAUCUUU